CUACGGGCUGCAGCAGUGAGGAAUAUUGCACAAUGGGGGGAACCCUGAUGCAGCAACGCCGCGUGGAGGAUGACGCAUUUCGGUGUGUAAACUCCUUUUAUAUGUCAAGAAAAUGACGGUAGCAUAUGAAUAAGCACCGGCUAACUCCGUGCCAGCAGCCGCGGUAAUACGGAGGGUGCAAGCGUUACUCGGAAUCACUGGGCGUAAAGGACGCGUAGGCGGGUUGGAAAGUCAGGUGUGAAAUCCUACAGCUUAACUGUAGAACUGCACUUGAAACUUCUAAUCUAGAGUAUGGGAGGGGGAGAUGGAAUUAGUGGUGUAGGGGUAAAAUCCGUAGAUAUCACUAGGAAUACCUAAAGCGAAGGCGAUCUCCUGGAACAUUACUGACGCUAGGGCGUGAAAGCGUGGGGAGCAAACAGGAUUAGAUACCUUGGUAGUC
rnacentral:rRNA from 1 species